AUUGAACGCUGGCGGCAUGCUUUACACACGCAAGUCGAACGGUAACAGGGUGCUUGCACCGCUGACGAGUGGCGAACGGGUGAGUAAUGCGUCGGAACGUGCCGAGUAGUGGGGGAUAACGCAGCGAAAGUUGUGCUAAUACCGCAUACGUACUGAGGUAGAAAGUGGGGGACCUUCGGGCCUCACGCUAUUCGAGCGGCCGACGUCUGAUUAGCUAGCAGGUGAGGUAAAGGCUCACCUAGGCGACGAUCAGUAGCGGGUCUGAGAGGAUGAUCCGCCACACUGGGACUGGGACACGGCCCAGACUCCUACGGGAGGCAGCAGUGGGGAAUUUUGGACAAUGGGCGAAAGCCUGAUCCAGCCAUGCCGCGUGUCUGAAGAAGGCCUUCGGGUUGUAAAGGACUUUUGUCAGGGAGGAAAUCCCUAGUGCUAAUAACACUGGGGGAUGACAGUACCUGAAGAAUAAGCACCGGCUAACUACGUGCCAGCCGCCGCAGUAA
rnacentral:rRNA from 1 species